GUCUCAUCCUUGCGGAUGGCGCGGAGCUGCCGCGCCCCGGGGGAAAGUUCGAUCUGCGGACUUCCUCUGUGCGUCCAGCCUUGGGGAGGAGGCUGGGGGCCUGGGAGGUCUUGCCCUCUGGGAGCCGAGAUGGGGGCAAAGGCAGGGGCUCCCCUCCCGGAGGCGCGAAAUCCAAGGAGGAAGUGACACUUAUCAGCCAGCCUGACAGAGGGGGCGCCCCAUCCGGCCCCUCCCACCCCACAGUCCCAGGAGCCACCUUGCGAGGGAUCUUCGCGCCCCAGGCUCGGAUGGGAGACACCCAGGAUGCCGAGAGGAGGCGAUGGGGGGUUUGCACGAUCGGGUCCGCCUCCUUUGGAUGGGGAUGAGAGCCGCUCACGAAGGAUACAACUUGCAGAACUCUGUACCACGUGGACUCCAGUCUUCACAAUUCAGGUGUGGCUACGCCCAUGUUGCAGAUGAAAAGUUAAGUAAAUGUCCCAAAUCUAA